rnacentral:rRNA from 1 species
AGAGUUUGAUCAUGGCUCAGGACGAACGCUGGCGGCGUGCUUAACACAUGCAAGUCGAACGAGGUUCAUCCCUUCGGGGAGAAGACCUAGUGGCGAACGGGUGAGUAACACGUGAGCAACCUGCCCCGAAGACCGGGAUAACAGCGGGAAACCGCUGCUAAUACCGGAUACCCCCAUCGGACGACAUCGCCCGAUGAGGAAAUGGAUUCCGCUUCGGGAGGGGCUCGCGGACUAUCAGCUUGUUGGUGAGGUAACGGCCCACCAAGGCUACGACGGUUAGCUGGUCUGAGAGGACGAUCAGCCACACUGGGACUGAGACGCGGCCCAGACUCCUACGGGAGGCAGCAGUGGGGAAUAUUGCGCAAUGGGCGAAAGCCUGACGCAGCAACGCCGCGUGAGGGAUGACGGCCUUCGGGUUGUAAACCUCUUUCGAGCAGGGACGAUAAUGACGGUACCUGCAGAAGAAGCUCCGGCCAACUACGUGCCAGCAGCCGCGGUAAUAC